GGGAGAGAUCCGUUUGCGCCAAAAAUGCGUCCUUUUGCGCCACAACUCUUUUCUCCAAUGCUACGUUUGCGACACCUGUUUUAAAAUUACAUGGUAUCAUUUGCGCCAGAAAUAAAACAUACGAUUGCGCCAACAAGAAGAAAUAUGACUUCCCUCCACCUUUAUUCGGACUUAGAACCAACAGUUUACACGGCAAAUGUUUCCUUUUAUGAACCAU
rnacentral:lncRNA from 1 species